rnacentral:rRNA from 1 species
UACGUAGGGAGCGAGCGUUGUCCGGAUUUACUGGGCGUAAAGGGCGCGUAGGCGGCCUGUUAAGUGUGGUGUGAAAUCUCCGGGCUCAACCCGGAAACCGCACCGCAUACUGGCAGGCUGGAGAGAGGUAGAGGCAAGUAGAAUUCCUGGUGUAACGGUGACAUGUGUAGAUAUCAGGAGGAAUACCGAUGGCGAAGGCAGCUUGCUGGACCUUUUCUGACGCUGAGGCGCGAAAGCGUGGGUAGCAAACAGA